rnacentral:rRNA from 1 species
UCGAGAAUCUUCGGCAAUGGGCGCAAGCCUGACCGAGCGACGCCGCGUGGAGGAUGAAGGCCCUCGGGUUGUAAACUCCUGUCGAGGGGGAAGAAGGGGCGUCAAAACCCUUGACUGAUCCCUGGAGGAAGCACGGGCUAAGUUCGUGCCAGCAGCCGCGGUAAGACGAACCGUGCAAACGUUAUUCGGAAUCACUGGGCUUAAAGCGCGUGUAGGCGGACCGGCACGUCGGUCGUUCAAAUCCCCCGGCUCAACCGGGGAACCGGCGCCGAUACGACCGGUCUGGAGGAACGUAGGGGGAGCGGGAACUUCCGGUGGAGCGGUGAAAUGCGUUGAGAUCGGAAGGAACGCCCGUGGCGAAAGCGCGCUCCUGGACGUUUACUGACGCUGAGACGCGAAAGCCAGGGGAGCGAACGGGAUUAGAUACCCCGGUAGUCC